AUCGAUUGAAAGUGCAGCGGGAUAUUUACGCCCCAAACUACGGAUGUCGUAUUCUCCUUAGGGACUAGGCGACAACAGUCGUGCUCGGCUAAAGCCAGAUCAGACGAAAAGGUUUUUGAUAUUGCAAGACAAACGAAAAUAAAGCAAGUUUGUUCCAGAAAAUCAUUGACAAAUAAGAUGUACUCACUAUAUUUUUGGUAUUUUUAUUUGUUUUACUUUGGGAACUAAAAUACUAGCACAUGCUAACAUGAGAAACAAGGAAAACUACAAGACAGCAACACAUAUAUGUUCAGCAACUAGUAUGAAAGAAAAGAAUUAAGAUCAAGGGACAAGAACAGAAGUACUUCACAUCACAAGCAUAUAUAUACUCACACGUACAUAGCUAACACAGGGACUAAGAAUUAAAGAUGUUCAAACUACUCACUUGACAGAGAGCACAAACAACACAAAAAUAGACAAGUAAGCUAGGUUCUUACAAAUGACUAGUUGAUAAACAGAGCACAUAUAUUGAACAGUACUACUAGACAAAUCUGAACAACACAUGCCAUACAAAUCUCAAUUCUAAACAUUACAAAAUACUAAACAUUAUACUACUCAAGAUUACAGAAAUUUGAGAGAGAGAAACAACAGCAGCAAGUUAGGGAAGUUGAGCGGAGGAGGAGCAGCGAAGGGGUUCAGAGAGAAAGAGAGAGACAGCAGGGGCGGCAGUAAGUUCAGAGAAGGAGCAGCAGCAGUAGGUUCAGAGAAAGAGUAGCAGUAGGUUCAGAGAAGGAGCGGCAAUAAGGUUUGGGAAGAAGAGGCAGCAGGGGAAAGGAGUAGUAGAAGCAGCGUGGAGGCGCAGGGGAGAAGAGAGCAACAACAGUUUGAGGCGAGGGAAGAAGAGAAGCAGCAGUAGGUUCAGAGAAGGCUUCAACAGAGGCGCAACAUGUAGUUUGGAGAUGGAGAAGGAGUUCGGGUUCAGGGAGCAACAACAGAGGUGAGGAAGAAGAGGGUAGCAGUAGGAGGACUGGAGGAUGGUGUGGUGGCGCUGGAUAUGGUGAUGGAUGGUGUGUGGCGGCGGUGCUGGAGAUGGUGAUGGAUGGCGCGGUGGUUCGAGGUGGUGAUGCGGCGCUGGUAGUGGCGGGUGGUGGAGAUGGAGUGGAUGAUGGAGUGGUGGCUGGAUGGACGGCGCUGGGCGCUGGUGGCGCACCUACCACGCCGGCCUGGCCAUGGCGGCGGCCAGAGGUGGAGAAGAAGGGUAAGGGAAAGAGAGAGAUGCCAGGCCCGAUUUGGGGAUUGAGAGCGCUAGGGAUUUGAUCCCCUUAAUCAGAUCUUCCCCUUUGCAAUCUGGCCCCUCUCCUUUUCUUCCUUCUGCACAAGUUGGUCCUCCUCUUAUUUAGGCAAACCCUUCAAGCUUUAGUGUUCAUCACACUUGGGUCCCUCCAUCUUUCUGUCCUGCCCUUGUCUCUUCUCAUCAGCCCCAUAGUCCAAAUUUUGAAGUUUAUAGGCCUUUUCGCCCUAUUCUGCAAAAUAAACAAAUUACUAGUCACGAGCUCUUUCGUGAAUAUCAUUUGAAUAUUCGAUAAUUCUAAGCAAGGAUAGAUUGACAUAUCUCAAUAAAUGGUGUAUAUGUGUGCCCAAAUCGUAUAUAUGAAAUGUGCUUAUCAAGUACCCCCACACUUAAAUCUUUGCUUGUCCUCAAGCAAAGGCAUUUGACAAGAGCAAGGUAGUGAUCAGCGAACUGACUAGAGAAUGUCCCAGUGAAGUAGAUCUCCAAACAAUGCAUGCUUUGAACUUUUGCUAGUGAAAAUCAAUGGUUAAGAGUGCUACAAAGCAGUAUGAUACUAGUAAGCAUGACCAUUUUUAACUUUUACAAUGAUAAAAGAGGAUCAACAAGUUUAAAUGAUGACUGUGCCAAAUGGUUCCUAAAGAGAGCAUGAUCUCGAGAACAAAAUGAACUGGAAUUAAAUCUUGUGAUCAAUCGAUCAUUUUGGCGCCUAUCACGCGGGUGACCUGAGUUCGAUCCCCGGCAACGGCGCCAAAAUGAUCGAUUGAAAGUGCAGCGGGAUAUUUACGCCCCAAACUACGGAUGUCGUAUUCUCCUCAGGGACUAGGCAACGACAGUCGUGCUCGGCCAAAGCUAGAUCUGACGAAAAGGUUUUUGAUAUUGCAAAACAAACGAAAAUAAAGCAAGUUUGUUCCAGAAAAUCAUUGACAAAUAAGAUGUACUCACUAUAUUUUUGGUAUUUUUAUUUGUUUUACUUUGGUAACUAAAAUACUAGCACAUGCUAACAUGAGAAACAAGGAAAACUGCUAGACAGCAACACAUAUAUGUUCAGCAACUAGUAUGAAAGAAAAGAAUUAAUAUCAAGGGACAAGAACAGAAGUACUUCACAUCACAAGCAUAUAUAUACUCACACGUACAUAGCUAACACAUGGACUAAGAAUUAAAGAUGUUCAAACUACUCACUUGACAGAGAGCACAAACAACACAAAAAUAGACAAGUAAGCUAGGUUCUUACAAAUGACUAGUUGAUAAACAGAGCACAUAUAUUGAACAGUACUACUAGACAAAUCUGAACAACACAUGCCAUACAAAUCUCAAUUCUAAACAUUACAAAAUACUAAACAUUAUACUACUCAAGAUUACAGAAAUUUGAGAGAGAGAGAAACAGCAGCGGCAAGUUAGGGAAGUUGAGCGAAGGACUAGCAGCGAAGGGGUUCAGAGAGAAAGUGAGAGACAGCAGGGGCAGCAGUAAGUUCAGAGAAGGAGCAGCAGCAGUAGGUUCAGAGAAAGAGUAGCAGUAGGUUCAGAGAAGGAGCGGCAGCAUGGUUUGGGAAGAAGAGGCAGUAGGGUAAAGGAGUAGUAGAAGCAGCGUGGAGGCGCAGAGGAGAAGAGAGCAACAGCAGUUUGAGGCGAGGGAAGAAGAGAAGCAGCAGUAGGUUCAGAGAAGGCUUCAGCAGAGGCGCAGCAUGCAGUUUGGAGAUGGAGAAGGAGUUCGGGUUCAGGGGAGCAACAACGGAGGUGAGGAAGAAGAGGGUAGCAGUAGGAGGACUGGAGGAUGGUGUGGUGGCGUUGGAUAUGGUGAUGGAUGGUGUGCGGUGGCGGUGCUGGAUGGCGCGGUGGUUCGAGGUGGUGAUGCGGCGCUGGCAGCGACGGUUGGUGGAGAUGGAGUGGAUGAUGGAGUGGUGGCUGGAUGGAUGGCGCUGGUUGCUGGUGGUGCACCUACCAUGCCAGCCUGGCCAUGGCGGCGGCCGGAGGUGGAGAAGGAGGGUAAGGGAAAGAGAGAGAGAUGCCAGACCCGAUUUGGGGAUUGAGAGCGCUAGGGAUUUGAUCCCCUCGAUCAGAUCUUCCCCUUUGCAAUCUGGCCCCUCUCCUUUUCUUCCUUCUGCACAAGUUGGUCCUCCUCUUAUUUAGGCAAACCCUUCAAGCUUUAGUGUACAUCACACUUGGGUCCCUCCAUCUUUCUGUCGUGCCCUUGUCUCUUCUCAUUAGCCCCAUAGUCCAAAUCUUGAAGUUUAUAGGCCUUUUCGCCUUAUUCUGCAAAAUAAAC
rnacentral:lncRNA from 1 species